rnacentral:sRNA from 1 species
UUACGGGAAGGUCGACUAGUCGUCUCU